rnacentral:lncRNA from 1 species
CUCUUUUCUUUUUUCUUUUUUGAAUUACCCAAUCUCAGGUAUGCUGUUAUAGGAACACAGACUAGACUAAGACAGCUUAGACUCCCAAAUGCCCACAGGAAGUGUGGUUGGAAGGGUUAGAACUAAGUAUGGAAGGACCUCCCUUGUUCAUCAUGCAGCACUGAGACCUUGUUCUAAACUUGAGCUGUCAGAGUGCCCAGCAGAGCCCCCUGACAGGAGCAGAAGCUCCUUGUGAGCCCGGCCAGGUUCCUAUAUCUUUCUUACCCAUCCAGGAGACACAGAUGAUUGUUCCCCUGGACACAGUUUCUGGGCCUACAAACUCCCUGCCUUAGGUCGCACACACAGGGACACUUGCUUUUGUCUGAACUGCUAUUUAAAGGGCCUCUCUGCAAGGGGGACCUUGGAGUCUCAUCUGUGCUUGGACGCUUCCCAGCCGGGACCCUGAAAGCCACACAGUGGGACCCCCAGGCGCUGGAAUUGGAGUUCCGGACGUUGAAGCUGGAUCUGAUGAUGUAGCUUUCCUUCUGCACUUUCCCUUUCUUCUGUAGAAUCAUGUAUGUGUCAAUGGACAGUUCAUGAACUUGGUUAUAUUCCUUAUACGUUGGUGUUAAAGGCUUUUGUCCUUUGUGACUCUGAACCUCUAAAUUAAGCUGCUACACAGACGGCAGUCUCUACUCACCUCGGCGUCACAAAGGAGAUUUGUGAACAGGGUGCUUUUCUUUGAGAAAUCAGAGCAGAAAGAGCUUCACCGCGUGGACCUUCCCCGAGGGGAAGAUGCGCCUUUUCCUUGGUGGCCAGAGUGCAGCCUGUGAGAAAUCGGAGGAGGACGAGAAUGGUGACCCUAUCCAGAGUUCCAGGGGCCAAGAAGAGAUUGCUGCUGCCACCGAGGGGGAGUAUGUUGAUGCUGAGGUCUCCCCAGUGGAACAAGCCCUCCUGGUAACUUGGAGAAAUUAAC